rnacentral:rRNA from 1 species
UACGUAGGUGGCGAGCGUUGUCCGGAUUUAUUGGGCGUAAAGCGCGCGCAGGCGGUGCGGUAAGUCUGUCGUGAAAUCUCCCGGCUCAACUGGGAGGGUGCGGUGGAGACUGCCGGACUGGAGGCACUCAGAGGCCGGUGGAAUUCCCGGUGUAGUGGUGAAAUGCGUAGAGAUCGGGAGGAACACCAGUGGCGAAGGCGGCCGGCUGGGGGUGACCUGACGCUGAGGCGCGAAAGCGUGGGGAGCGAACCGG